CAACAGUGCUUUGAAAACUGCGUCGGAGCCUCGGUACCAUCCGUCCCAUCACUAGAUAACGGUAAAUCAGCGUCUUUUCCGUUGUGUCUACUGCAGGAUGGAUAUAAAAGUAUAAAAUACGUUUUGGUUUGACAACAUCAUUCAUAUGUGAACUAUCACAAAGAAAUAACAAGUGUGAGAAAAGAGAAGUUCAUCAGGCGAGUUGGAGCGUUGGCUUUGUCGAGUCAUACAGUUUAGCGGAGAGCGUCAACCCCUGAUUGACAUGAGGAAAAAAAUCAUUGAGAAGUGUUCAGUGUACAGUGUACCCCUCUUUGUAACAGAGGAAGCAUUAGGACAGAGGAGAAGAGGGAAAGCGAAAAGGCACUCAACAGAUGUCGGAAAAUGCACUGGUAAAAACUAGAAAAAGAAGACCAAAAAUAUAAUUCAACAGAAGAUGAUGGCUGUGGUGAAAUAAGCACUCAA